AAAUAUGAGGUGGUCAGUUGACACUUUCAAGUGGUAAGUGGAGUGCCAAAUUGAAUCCUUAUUAUUGCCAAACACGCAUUAACAUAUUGAGGAAAUAAAUGCGUCGUUUCCAGUUAUAACCCAAACCCUAAACGCGAUACCGAGAAUCCCCAAAUCAAUUAUCGAAGCUCUAUCCCCAAAAUCGAUUGUAAUCACUCCGAGAACGACGCAAGGAACCCAAAAUCGAUUGUAAUAUGUUGUUUGUUGGACCUAGCGACGCGCAAUAAAGAUUCAUUUUUGUCAGAGGAGACUGUUCAAAAGAUUAUGUCCGGUAUGCACUAAAUAACUCUUUAAUUUCUUGUGAUGACACUGAACUGUGUGCUUGUUCGAGCUGAUUUGAGUGUUAUUUCCCUUUAUUGCUGGAAGCCAAAUAAGUAUUGAUGAUCUAUCUGUCAUGGAAAAGAAACGUUUCACGAGAGCUGUAACCUCAGGAGAGCUAAGCAAGUUGAUCAUGCCAUGGGAUCCAUGGUGGCUGAAGCCUUCUGCCAAAUCUAUAUUACUCACUCGGGAUGGAGUCAACCUUGUCCAACCACUGUCCAGCAAGAACAAGUGGAAUCAUCAGAAAAUGAUAUGGAAAGCAAUCAGUUGUAUGACGUUCCACCUUGCCCUGAAAACCCGUUAUCACUAGAUAGCAAGCAUAAUACUUCUGUACCGUCACCUCUAUUAGCUUUUCACCUCAUUGGCGUAAUUUACAGUUACCGUUUUACCCUGCAGAUGCCCUAGAAUGAGCUAUGGUCUUUCUUGGUGUGUCUUCUAUCUUGGGUACAAGUGGAUAACUUUUGAAAGUGUUGGAAGCUUUAUUGCAUUGCUUGGAACAAGCAUCCUCUCCUGCAUACAAGCGUAUGAGUGGCUUAAAAUUUGAAUUAGGGCUGAUGUAAUAAGCCUUCUUUAUCUUAAACGCGAUGCCUUAAUUUGCUUGCUUUCUGAUGUGUAACCUUACUGAACCUGAAUUAUAUAGCAUGUUAUUGAUCAAAUGGAGCAAUGUUAUGCCGGUGAACAAAAAAAUGUGGAAUUUGAGGGUGAGCCCAUUGGUGGAUCAAGGGCAUUCCAAGUUGAAGAUUUGUCUUGUAUUUUGAAAACCGUUGCUAAAAUCCUGAAAGCAGAGGACAUCGAGAUCUCUCUUAAUAUUACUAUCCAAAAGGAAAAAUGAGAUAUUGAAAAGAACGGGAAUAGAAGGAAAGAGCUCCAUAAAAUGUUACUUAACUUUUUUGUUGCUUAAAACAAAGUUGAUUGUAAUUGUCAUGGUGUACAAAGCUCACUGUAAUCGUGAAGUGUUAUCCAAGUAUGCUCCCUUAUUUAUUUAUUAACAAGUUUGAACAAUGUAGACUGGCUUUUGUUUUUGAAAAGUUCGCUCUUGUUUCAUUGUUUUUGGAAA